rnacentral:lncRNA from 1 species
AGUUCAAUCCCUGGUACAAAAAGAAAAAAAGAGUUGAAAGUUGUCUACUUUUUUUUUUUAAGUACCGGGAUCAAACUCAGGACCCUGUGCUUGAGAGGCAGACAUAGCACCAAUGAGCUAAAUCCCUAGCCCAAGACAUACUAUUUCUGAAUUUUUGAAAAGCAAGGAAAUAAUGUGGUCUACAGAUUAGCUGUGUACUUUGACAGUUGCACAGUUGUUUUCAGUUUUCAUGAAGUGAGAGUUCCUUCAGAAUCGUACUGCAUUCAUGAGUUAUAAACAUUUCAGAGAUCAUUUUUAAAUGUUUUAUAAAUAUAUAUAUAUAUUUUGGUACCAGGGAUCAAACUCAGGUCCUUGCACUUGUGGGGCAGGGAGCAGAACCACUGAGCUCAAUUCCCAGCCCAUUCCAGAGAUCUUUGCUUUUGAACUUCCUGUUCUUUUUACCCAGUAUAUUUUCCUAGAAAUAUUUUUUGCUCUCAUAUAGUGAAUAGCAGAAUGUGAGUGGGUGAAUAGUCCUAUUGACCUGUGCACUUUUCCUCUUGUAGAGAUACUUAUUCUCGGGUUAUCGAUAAUUCCUAGUCUUCAGUCUAAAUGCCAGGAGGAGCUAUUUAGGUGACAGAUGUGAUUUCUUUGGUUUUAUAUAUAUUUUUUAACAAGAUUAUUUCUCGAUCACAUUCAGAAGUGAUCAUUUGGUGCUUUCUAGAGUAUUUCCUAUCACUGACGAUGUCACAUGACAGAAAAGUGGCCUUACUGAUAUUUAUUUCUUUUUUUAAUUGUGGUGGCAGGCAGUGUCAACCUAUUGUGUCACCUCACAGCGAGACAGCCCCAAUUCCAGUUCUUAUUCAGAUAAGGAAUUAUCAGCGCAUUGAGCAGAAUCUGACGUCUACUGCCAGCUCUAGUACAAAUUCACAUGGUUCUCCAAGGUCUGCAGUGGUAUGGAGGUCUAACACCAGCCCCCUUGGGCUUCCUCAGGCUGGGAUCCUGCUCCCCAGCACCAGCAGACACAGUACAGACAGUUGGAUGAAGACUCU